AAAAUGAGGAAGGAAAUUUAAAAGAGUAAUGAUGGUAUCACUUUCAUACUUCUCUUUCCACUAAACUGAAUUGCGUUCACGUGAACAAGUAAACGCACAUUAUCCCUCUUCCAUCCACGUUUCUCUUUCAGUUUGUCCCAUAAAGACCAAGAACUCUCAAAAAACACAACCAGACAAAACCAUCUUCUCAAAAGAGCUUUAGCAGACAAGCAAAAAUGGAAGCACCUGCGACACAAUCCAUAGAGACUUCAACCAAUAAUUUCCAGGUUGAAGAAGAUGAACAAGACAAAGCUGUUGAUGAAUGUUGUUCUUGCUGCUAUGACUGCACGGAGACCUGCUUCGAUUACUUGUGCUGUUUCAAUCUUUGUUAGAGUUUAGAAAGGAAAAUAACCAUCUCUAUGUCACUAUAAUUCUAGCCUUUCUUGACUGAAAGAGAAAGAACAAUGGAUAUUGCUUUAGAAAGGAAGUAGUACUUGUAUUAUUACAAUGUUGUGGUCAUGUUUCUUUCGUUUCAUACCCUUUUGGAUUCUUUUCUUUUUCUCUUCUUCUUUACCACUUUAUAAUUAAGUCAAUAAAGUAGCUUUUGAAGUGCUUUUGGCUCAA